CCUACGGGAGGCAGCAGUAGGGAAUCUUCCACAAUGGGCGAAAGCCUGAUGGAGCAACGCCGCGUGGGUGAAGAAGGUCUUCGGAUCGUAAAACCCUGUUGUUAGAGAAGAAAGUGCGGGAGAGUAACUGUUCACGUGUCGACGGUAUCUAACCAGAAAGCAACGGCUAACUACGUGCCAGCAGCCGCGGUAAGACGUAGGUGGAAAGCGUUAUCCGGAUUUAUUGGGCGUAAAGGGAACGCAGGCGGUCUUUUAAGUCUGAUGGGAAUGCCUUCGGCUUAACCGGAGUAGGGCAUUGGAAACUGGGAGACUUGCGUGCAGCCGUGGCGACUGUCACUCCCUGUGUCGC
rnacentral:rRNA from 1 species